rnacentral:rRNA from 1 species
UACGGAGGGUGCAAGCGUUAAUCGGAAUUACUGGACGUAAAGCGCACGCAGGCGGCUGAGUCAGUCGAUUGUGAAAGCCCUGGGCUUAACCUGGGAAUUGCAGUCGAUACUACUCAGCUAGAGUAUGGGAGAGGGUAGUGGAAUUCCCGGUGUAGCGGUGAAAUGCGUAGAUAUCGGGAGGAACAUCAGUGGCGAAGGCGGCUACCUGGCCCAAUACUGACACUCAGGUGCGACAGCGUGGGGAGCAAACAGG